CCUUCCAAACAGUAAAAACAAACAAACAAACAGACCAAAUUUGUCAUUGUUGUUUCGAUUUGCUCUUUUUGUUUGUUUGCUUUUGUGUUUUGAGACAGGGUCUGGCUUGUAUAGCUCAUGC
ensembl:miRNA Mir1192 microRNA 1192